rnacentral:rRNA from 1 species
CUACGGGUCGCAGCAGUGAGGAAUAUUGGACAAUGGUCGAAAGACUGAUCCAGCCAUGCCGCGUGCAGGAUGACUGCCCUAUGGGUUGUAAACUGCUUUUAUACGGGAAGAAAAACACCUACGUGUAGGUGACUGACGGUACCGUAAGAAUAAGGACCGGCUAACUCCGUGCCAGCAGCCGCGGUAAUACGGAGGGUCCAAGCGUUAUCCGGAAUCAUUGGGUUUAAAGGGUCCGUAGGCGGGCUAUUAAGUCAGAGGUGAAAGUUUGCAGCUCAACUGUAAAAUUGCCUUUGAUACUGAUAGUCUUGAAUUGUAGUGAAGUGGUUAGAAUAUGUGGUGUAGCGGUGAAAUGCAUAGAUAUCACAUAGAAUACCGAUUGCGAAGGCAGAUCACUAACUAUAUAUUGACGCUGAGGGACGAAAGCGUGGGGAGCGAACGGGAUUAGAUACCCCAGUAGUC